UCCUUGUAGCCUAUCUUACACCCAGUACUUUGGUAUGCCUUUAUUCUUGGUUCUCUUCCAGGAUCUGAGCACUGCACUUUAGCUUCCUGUGCAGAUUUCUGUUUACCCACUCUUGGUUCUUAUACGCAUUUCCUGAUUCAAUCCCUACACUUGCCUGACUUCAACUCCCCACCUGCUGGUCAUCUCACCCUCCAUACCUCUAAUCAUGCUCUUCUUUCUGAGUUUGAGUUUAGGUCAACUAAACCAUAUACUGGAAUGCUCUAUAGGUACCACUUGGAUGGAAUUCAUUUUACCUACUCCCUCUUCACAGCUCCUCCUCCUUUUUUGUUUCUGUUAACUAGUUAAUGGUCUCUACAAAGUUACUAACAUGGGAGGCACCCUGAACACCUCCUUCCCCAACUCCAUGAAGUAUCUUAUCAACCACCUAGUCCUGUCAAGUUCAUUGUUGAACAAGCGCAUUCUGUACUCACUCUCACUGCUCCAGCCUAGACUCCCAUUACUUUUUAGGCUUUAUUAUCAAUUCUUAAUUUAUCUUUCCUCUUGCACAUUAUUUUUCUCUCUGCACUACAUCUGUCCCUUUUUCAGAAGCCCUUCCAUUAAAAACAGGCUUUUUAUUUCUGUUAAGAUCAACUAAAUAUUUUUUAACAAAAUUUUUUUAUUAGAGUUUAUUUCUAAUGUUGUGCUAAUUUCUGCUAUACAGCAAAGUGACCCAGUCAUACAUAUAUAUAUACAUGCAUUCCCUUUCUUAUGUUAUCUUCCAUCAUGUUCUCUCCCAAGAGAUUGGAUAUAGUUCCCCAUGCUACACAGCAGGCCCUCAUUGCCUAUCCAUUCUAGAUAUAAUAGAGAUGCAUCUAAGUAAAACACAGAAUCCUCCCUUCCUCAAAAAUCUCCUAUGUCAAUAAAGUUCCCAGGGCUUUAUUGUGCCCCUGGUCCUGAUGCUCUACUGAACCUGCUCUUCUGUUGCUUCUUCUCCUAAGCAUCACCUCAGGGCAGCACCUUCAUAGGUGCCAUGUGCUCUGACAUCGAUUCAUUUCCCCUUUCCUUUCACUGCAAAAUACUAUUCAUCUUCCCAGAUCUACCUCAAAAAUCACCUCCCCUGAAGUGUCUUCACAUAUUUGUAAUGCUUCUAAAAGAGUGUGAAUCACACAUUGUUUUAUCCAAGAGGAGGUUGUGUUGUUCUGAUGGGGCUUUGAGGGUCAGUCUCAGUUCCAUCACUAAUUACAUGACCUUGGACAAUUUAUUAAUUAUUUUGUUCCCCCACUUUUGCUCCUGUAUAAUGCGGUGAUCAGGUGUCCCACUGAUGGGAACUAGGUUACAUACAUGGGGAAAUGGCACAUACAUGAAAGGUCUUAAGUAAUCAUUUGUCCCUUAUGGGCACCAGGCACUAUUAGAGCUGAUUUACUUUUCCUUUAGCAGAUUGGGGGCAACCUCAAGGAGAUACUGGUCUCGUGUACAACAUUUUUAGCCAGUACAGGUCUCACCAAAGAACAGGCCCUCAGUAAAUGUCUGUUCAAUUUAGAUCCUCCCCAAUGUUACAUUUUACCUCAGUGCUCACAUGGUAAUCUAUAUGAAGAAAACACACUUAGAGCCUUGGACCACCCAGCCAUCUAUAACAUAGUCCAGUGUGACCUGCUCCUUUUGAUCUGAUUUUUUAAAUCCAAAUACUCUUUUUGCUUCUUUGAACAAAGUAUACCCUUGCAUUUCCAUGUUCCUUUCAUCCGUAUAAUUGUACUCGUUUUUGGCAUAGUCAUGGAAUUUUGUUUCCUGAUCCUUUACUAUUUCAUACCUCGUUUUGUGUAUUGGCCAUAUUCUGUGUAUUAAUGUAGGGAUGUUCCAGUCAAAAAGAUACUCUUAUCUGUGUUCUCCUCCUUGCUCCACUAAUGUUCUUUCUAAGGGACACCUGUACUUUUCAAAGAAUUCUAUUCAAUCUCCUGCUUCUUCAAGUUGCAAGCUGUUUCAGUGUUGCCAAAGCAUGUGCAGGAAAUCCCUUGCAGUACUUGUGAAAGUUUGAGAUCCAGAUAUAUUUUGAGGUAGAUCUCCAAGGAAGUAUAAAGGUGGAAAACGAACCAGUUCAAUUUGGGUUAAAAGGAGUUCACGGAGAAUUUCUCCACUAAGAUACAUUCCCUCAACCUGCAUCUCAGCGGGUGAUUUCAUUUCAGAACAUAUUGUUUCUUGAUAAUAUGAUAUUGGACAGUUACUAUUUCUCGGGCCUGCUUGGUCCGAGUAUCAUUUUAUUAUAUCUUUCCAUAAAAACAUGUGAUUUAGAUAUGCAUCUCUGCAACUGCAAGGUAAAUCAGUGGUAAAAUAGAAUUCAGUUAUAGAAUUUUCUGAGAAAAUCAGUGGAGUUCUCAAUGUGAAUGAGUCUUUACUCCAAAAGUCUACUACAGAAAUCAUUAUUUUAUUUUAUUUAUUUAUUUUCAGGGUCACAUGUGUGGCACAUGGAAGUUCCCAAGCUAGGGAUCAAAUCAGAGCUGCAGCUGAGGCUAUACCAUAGCUACAGCAACAUGGGAUCCCAGUAGCAUUUGCAACCUAUGUUGCAAUUUGUGGCAAUGCCAGAUCCUUAACCCACUGAACAAGGCCAGAGAUCAAACCCACAUCCUGACAGACACUGUGUCAGUUUCUUAACCAUCUAAGCAGCAUCAGGAACUCCUGUUUAUAGAUUUUAGUGAUUAGAGAAAAAACUCUUGGACUGAGGUCUGUGAAUGCACUUGGAAUUCCCUGUGACCUUCACGAUGUUUUACGUAGGGAGUUUGUAAAACACACAUCCACUUUUCCCACACUGUCAGAGGACUUGAUCCAAAAAAAGAGUUAGGAGUUGGUGAUGUCACAGAGAGGGCUGGAAGAUGAUGUGGUGAUGAUUUUUAAAUUUCUAAGUCUCUGCAGCAGAAUAAUAGGACUCACCCAGGAUCUGUGGUAAAGUAUGCAGUAGACCUGAUCUGUUGGGGCCACACAGGGGGUGAUAAGAUGUUUUACUCAGAGAUUAUCUCUUUAUCAGCAUGGUGGUUGUUAACCUGCAUUUAGCUCCUGGGAAAGCAGUCCCUACACACCGUGGGAAUCAGGCUUAUGGACUGAUUUUAACGUAAAGUUCAAGGAUGCUUCAGGGAAAGGUGAAUUUGACUUCUAGAACUGCAGGAAGAUUCUCAUGGAUUAAGUUGCCAGCUGUAUGUCAGUGAUAAUUACUAAGAAAGAAAACAGAACCUUCUUGGGGGAAAUUAUGCGAGAGAUGACAGGGCAACAAAAACUUUAAACAAAUUAAACUCUGGUCCAUUUUGGACUCCUCCAGGAUUACUACCACCUAAUUCUCACAUGUUCAGGUAUGGAGGCCCUUCCACUCCCAGCUUCCAAAACCCUAAGAAAGUAACCCUCGCCAUGUGCUCAGAGAAAAACAAAAACAAAAACAAAAACAUAGCCCAAGAAACAUAGUCUAGAUUUAAAAUAGGUAUAAUACGAAAAGAAUUCUUGCCUGGAGCAUGGUCUCAAUAGAGUUCUUGCUUCUUAAUAAGUAAUGUCCCUGAUAUGAUGUUUUCCAAGUUAGAAUUUGGUUUCAUGUUUGUUUCAAAAACUACGCACACAUUCUUCAAAACUGCCAAGCAUAAAAUGUACAUGUGAUACUUCAUUUUUCAACACAUGAAGCAGACAUGACAACAGAAAGAAGAGUUUCCUUUGAUAAAAAUCUAUCACUUUUGCCAAUUUUAUGUGUUGACUAGCUUUUUAUUAUUUUUUAAUAUUAAAUUUUUUUAAUUUUAAAAAUUUAUUAUUUUUUAAAAUAUUUUUCCUCAUGUUAAUUUUUGGUAUCAUUCUUUUCCAUUACCUGGUAUAAAUUUGGUCUCCUAAUGUUAAUACGUUGCCCUACUUUUUGCUUGUAAUACUGUAUGAUGGGCAUUUUCCCCAUAUCCUGAGAAGUUUCAUAAUUUAAUUGAAUGGUUUCUUCAUAUUCCAAUGUGUGAAUAUACCAUCAGUUGCCUUCUGCUAAAAUUUUAUUUUUAACUUUUUGUUAUUAGGUGAAUAUCUUUGACUCUAUUGAUGAGUUUAUUCCUAUGAUAAAUAUGAUGGUAGUUGGAAUUUAAACUCAUGAGUGAAUUUAUAGCAAAUGAAUGAUAGCAAAACAUAUGUUUGAUUUAUUUGUAAUAAUAAUGAUGUAUAAUAAUGUGGGUAUAUUUUUUUUUGGAGGGGAAGAUAUCACUUGGUUUAAUGAUUGUUUUAUCAGUCCAAGCUAUGUCAUUCAUAGGCAGAAACCAUUUUUCUACAGCUUGAAUGGUGCAUAUCAAGACAAUAUCAAGAAGGCAAUAAAAUAGAUUGAGCUCUUUUGAGAAUCUUUAUUAUGAAAAGAUUCCAUCUAUAUCGGAAGUUAAAUAUUUUUUUGGCCACACUCAUGGCAUAUGGAAGUUUCCCAGUCAGGGACCGAUCCCAUGCCACAGCAGUGAUCCGAGCUGCUGCAGUGACAACCCCAGAUACUUAACCCAAUGAGCCACAUGGGAAUGCCUGGAAGGUAAUUUUUUAAAAUAAAAUGUUACUAUCUGCAUAAUCCAAGUUUCUUUUAUGUAGAGUGUUAACCUGGAUAUAUAAUUUUCUCUUUUUGUCACUUAGAAAAGUAGGUGGUCCAUUAAGCUUCAGGUUUAUUUUGCUAUUUAGCUUGAUGAUUUUUUUAGGGUUAAAAUAAUUUUUUAGGGUUCACAUUCUUCAUUCUUUUUUAAAAAUUGAAGUAUAGUUGGUUUACAAUGUUGUGUUAGUUUCAGAUGUACAGCACAGCUAUUCUGUUAUAUAUAUAUGUAUAUUAUUUUUCAGAUUCUUUCCAUUUUAAGUUAUUACUAGAUAUUGAAUAUAGUUCCCUGUGCUAUAUAGUAGGUCCUUGUUAGUUAUCUAUUUUAUAUAUAUAUAGCAGUGUGUAUAUAUUAAUCCCAACCACCUACUUUAUCUCUCUCCCUUUCCCCUUUAGUAACCAUAAGUCUGUUUUCUAUGUCUGUCGGUUUAGUUCUAUUUUGGAAAUGAGUUCAUUUAUAUCAUUUCAUUCUUAUUUUAAAAUUAGUUUAAUUAAAUUAUCUGGUGAUUAUAGGAAUCUCCUGGUGGUGUAGUGGAUUAAGGAUCCAGUAUUGUCACUGCUGUGGGUUGAGUCACUGCUGUCAUGUAGGUUCAAUUCCUGGCCCUGGAACUUACCAU
rnacentral:lncRNA from 1 species